UUUAUGCACUCAUUUGCAUAAACAUGAGUAAUUUAUGAAUAAUAAAUGGUCUUUGCAUUCAGGGGGAAUUAUUCAUUUGCAUAUCACCGUCGCAUUACAGAUUUUUUUUUCCAGUGAGCUGUGCUAUCGCCAAGCUCUUAAAACCUGUAGAAAUCAAGGACGACAUUUAAAUAGAGAUCAGAGGGAGAGAGCCUUUUAUCUCUGUGGCAGAGUUUUGCCUCCAGUUGUGACUUGCUGGGACCAGGGUCCGAGCGGCUCGCUGGGGCACCAGACGAGGGCGGAUACUUUUGGCCCCUGUACCCUGGCAACCGGCUCCUGAGGCAGCGGCCCCGACGGGCGCUCCGCAGCUGCGCCCUCUGUCCAUCGCGGCGGCCCAAACGCAAACCCGCCAUGACCCAGUGACGGAUUGGAACCGGAUGAAAUAACAGAGCCCUUGAAGUGGGGAGUAAAUCUGACAGGACACACUGGAAAGGUCCUGGCCUACUCUUUCCCAGCUACGGCAGCCUGUGUUCUUUUCUUUCUCUCCCUCCGCUCUCCUUGCAACGGUCCCAGAGAUAAUGUCAUAAUUUACAGGCAUGCAUUGUGCGGGAUGAAUGAUGGAUGCUUUUUAGACUUAAUAAGCAUUACCCUUUAACGGAUAAUAGUCUUUUGGUAACACGCAGUCAGUGGGGAGAGACAAAAAAAGCGACACCUUCAAAAGGAAUUUUCCUUUUUAGUUCUUAUUUUCUGACUAAUGGGGGAAACCGAAAAUGUAAUUAUUUUCUUUUAUGAGCUGGCGGCUUGAUACUGAUCAAAGGGCGACCCUUUGUUCUGCAUGUUAUGCUGUUUUUUUUCUCCCUCUCCCUCUUGCUCUUCCCCCUCUCUCUUUCUCUCUCUACCUCUCUCUCACUCUCUCCCCCCCUCAUUCUCGGAUGGUCUUUUUCUUAAACAUAUUAAGAAAACAACAAAACAAUGCAUCCGCUGCACAGCAGAGUACACCUUAAGCAGGAAGCUGUUCGCUCCUGCUCUGGACGCAUCUGUGAGUCUGCUGUCUCUGCCGGGCGCCCUGCUCUCGCCGCGUCUUCUGAGGAGCUCAGGGGCGGAUUCACGCAGGGAUCAGAGCCAGGGGAUGCGUCUGCGGCAAACCCUGCCGCGCUACAAACACGCGCUCCGCGCUGCUGACCGCGGUGGUCGAAUCUUCUCGCCAGUUAGGCGACCUGGAAAGCGUUGGCAGUGUGACCGAGAGCCUGGCAGGGGGAGGGGCUGCCUGACUGACUGCGGGUCACAUCCUAUAGGGACUCAUGGACACGCUGAGAACCGCCCCCUGGGGACUCUUAACUGAUACUUUAAUGAAUGUCCAGUGACCCACUGACCUCAUCACUAUGUCGGUGACCAGAAGUUAAACGGGCGUCUGGGGAACAUAUGACAUCAUCAAAGGGAGAUGUACUCUGACCAAAGGAAUUGACAUGGAAAUGUGUAGAUGUAAUGAUGUAAAGCAGACUAUUUUCUAGAUCUUUCUUUCUAGUAUCUAGUUCUGACAUUUUACAUUGAUAAUCUAGUCUUUUGCUCAUUAAAUGUUUUUGCGGAGAAAAAACAGAAAACAAUGGUUAUAUUUUGUAUUGCGUUAAAAGCCAGCACUUUAUUGUUAGUAUAUUUUAAUCUCAUAAAUGUUUUUUAGGUUUAACCUUUUUGGUAAUCCCGUUUUAUUAUCCCUCAAUAUUUAAUUCAGUUCUGAUAUUUCUUGUACACAACCGCUAUCAAGCAAAAGGCAGUAUUUUUCCACUUCCAGAAGGACACAUUUAGGCAGAGCAGUUAGAGCAGGGAUCCUAUAAUUCAGAUAAAUCUUACUUUCAUGGGGUGACAAAGACAAAGCUCAGCACACUGGCAUCCUCACUCACUAAUCAAUAACUAUGCCUUCAUAACUCCAUACUUCUUUAUAUAACCACAUUAAGGAAAUUGACUGAUCAAUGAAAUGAUUGAUUUCAUUGUUCAGUAAGUAUGCACACCGCAGGUUUGCAUAUAAAUGUGUUUGAUUAAAUGAAUAGUUGGUUGUGUAAAAGUGCAUACAUGCAACAUAUCAAGUGAAGUGACCUGAUGAUUAUGCUUGGUGAAUGCACUGAAGAUCUAAAUUUGACAAUAAAACAGUGGUAUCAAUUGAU